rnacentral:rRNA from 1 species
GAUGAACGCUAGCGGCAGGCUUAAUACAUGCAAGUCGUGGGGCAGCAUGAAUGUAGCAAUACAUUUGAUGGCGACCGGCAAACGGGUGCGGAACACGUACACAACCUUCCUAUAAGUGGGGAAUAGCCCAGAGAAAUUUGGAUUAAUACCCCGUAACAUAACGAUGUGGCAUCACAUUGUUAUUAUAGCUUCGGCGCUUAUUGAUGGGUGUGCGGCUGAUUAGAUAGUUGGCGGGGUAACGGCCCACCAAGUCUACGAUCAGUAGCUGAUGUGACAGCAUGACCAGCCAUACGGGAAGUGGGACACGGGCCCGACUCCUACGGGAGGGAGCAGUAAGGAAUAUUGGUCAAUGGACGCAAGUCUGAACCAGCCAUGCCGCGUGAAGGAUUAAGGUCCUCUGGAUUGUAAACUUCUUUUAUCUGGGACGAAAAAAGGCUUUUCUAAGUCACUUGACGGUACCAGAUGAAUAAGCACCGGCUAACUCCGUGCCAGCCGCCGCAGUAACAC